rnacentral:sRNA from 1 species
CAUCUUAAUACUUUUUCAGUAGAUCAUGAAGCAGUUUAUUUAAUAUUAUUUGGAUAACAAGCCUCCACAUGAAUGGGAUUCGAAUGUCAAUUGUCUUAGGGGAAAAAAGAUUUAUUGGUUGGUAAAUAUUGAGAAAAGAAAGCUGAUAAAGACUGGCUUCAGCUGCGGCCUCUGCCGGGGACGGGAGAACAGGCCUGUGUUGUGUUUUGGGGCCCUGGGAAGGCAAAAACUGGUGAAUGUCUGCCUUUGUUGGUGGGUGUAAAAGUGGAGCCCACCACAAAUAAUUUCUUAUUUCUGUUCCCAUAGAUUUUCAAUUAUGUAGCCCCCUACCUUACGAAGUAUUAAAGCGGUCUUGUUUAAGAAAAAGGCACCUAAAUAAUGAAGCUUAUGUAGCUUGUUUUCAGACAUCAAUAUCUGGCUUUGAGGGGCACAAAAAGAUAAAGGAACGUGGAUUCAU